CUGUGGGUGGGGUUUAGUCUCUGAAUCAGCUGCCCUCCAGGUUGGAGCUCAUUUGCCAAACAGAGCUCGAGGUGUAGAGCAGCAGCUAGAACAGGUGGCAAUCACUGCUGUGCUAGGACACGCCCUUUGCAUCUGGCUACGUUCCAGAAAAUGAAUUCAGUGCUUCAGAAUUCUUCCUGGGUCAGGACAGCUGCUAGCGUGGAUGGGAAAAGGCCACGAUGGAUCGACUGAGUGCUGCUGAUCAGGUUUCUGACUUCACUGCUGACCCCUGAGAGGACAGAGGAGCUGCUGGCUAUCUACCCCAGGGAGACGGAGGACACCCAGCGAGCCGAGGUCAAAAGUAGAUGUUGGCCACUCUGAAUCACAAAAGAACAAUAAGCUGAAGGUAAAUAUACUGUUAUCAGGGAGGCUUGGGAGCGAAGUAAAAGCACUUCUAAGCUACGCCAUAGAUUAUCAAACCGUCAUCUUCCUUCUUCAUCCUGGAAAGGAUACAAUUUGAUAACAAAAACAUACAGUGUUAGGUGUUGAAGGAUUUCAGCCUAACCUAUGUGACUAGUCCCGUUGGAUUCCAUAGGACUAUUUGCAUAGGCUACUUUGGGUGACGCCCACUGCUAACACUUCAGGUACAAUGAUGGAAAAGCCAGACAGGGCUGAUGGCCCAUCAGCGAGGACAAUGGACUGAAAAGGCUUGGCUUUCCUGCAGGACGCUCCAUGCUGCCAGUGACUCAUGGACACUGUGAUGCUACAGAGUCAGGUGACCUGGUCACCUGAUACUAAACUUCAUCUUGGACUGCUGAAUUUUUCCACUGGGAGGUGGGUGAAUCAAACAAAGGAUUCCCACCUCAUGGAAAUCCUAUAUAACGUGUGGAAGGAAAACAAUCAAGGUCUUCAGUUCUUUUCUGCUCCGCCUCCCCACACAAAGAGAUACCUGAAAACACCUGGAAACAAAAGGACUGGAACUGGGGUGGGACGGGGAAGAAGAACUGCUUGACCCAGGCUGGAAAGGUAUCUGGUCUGUGAAGGAAUCUACCUAAGACGGUAUCUAGGGUGAGGAAUUACAUUUUGUAACCUGUUUCUUAAGUAUAUUGAGCUUAGCUUGCGGAUUUUGUUUUAUUUGGUCAGUAAUCUGCUUUG